AGUAUACAUUGAACAGAGCCUGCAACGUAAGACAGAUUUAAUUUCUUUAUUCACGGCACGAUCUGCUGCACGAAUGAGAUUCAGAGAAAAUUCUUGACUGCCAAUUCUAAUCCCCUUAACAGAGAUAAACUUUUAAAACUUUUUUCCUUUUGGGAAUUUGAUUAAAGUUUGUUCCUUUUGCUUUGUGUAAUUGAAACUUGGUUUGUUAUUGAUGGUUUUGUGGUUUUGAAUCGGUGGUUUUUGUUGUGGUUGGGUUUCAAUUGAUUUGGGUUUCAUGUUUUAGGGUAUUGAUUUGGGUUUCCAUGUUUUUGUAAUUACUCGGCAGGGGGUAUAUUUGAUAGAGGGUAUGCAAUGUUAUGGUUGAUUGUAUAGAGAUGGUUUAUUUGGCCGUUGUUGUAUUUGGAUGAUAGAGUUUGUUUCGGUUAUGGUGGUUUAUAUAGUUGUGAUAGAUGGUUUGUUUGGUUUUGUUCAGCAGAUAUUGGGAAUAGUGUGCGAUCAAAUUUUGGAAGUGCUUUGAAUUCAGUCUCUAUAAAAGGUCAAGCACUAAGAUACGAAAUAGAAGACAACAAAUCAGUUUGGGUUCGUUCUGGAAAAGACUGCUUAAGGAGCUUGAUGAUGCAGCAGUCAAAGUUCAGAAAGUUUUGUAUAUCAAACUCGAAGCAACCUUGCAGAUUGUGCAGUGGUGGCUGAGGAGGUUCUCCAGCUGGGACUAAAGAGCUAUGAUGGAAAAGUUUUAGAUUCUGCAGCUCUCAAGCAGAGUUCUGUGUCAUUCUUCGAUGUUGAGAAGCCAGAAACCACCUCUUUGUGGUAGGCAAGGGCUAGGACUAGGCUGCGAAGAUUGGAAAAGGUCUGUCUAAGGAUGAGAAAGCACAAAAUCUAGCUCUUCAACAUUGGCUUGAAGCUAUUGAUCCACGCCAUCGGUACAGACACAAUUUACACAUGUAAUACGAUUUGUGGUUUGAAAGUCAGAGCAGCCAGUCUUUCUUCUACUGGCUGAAUGUUGGAGAUGGCAAAGAAACAAAUCUUGAGAUAUGCUCGAGGACAGUUCUACAGAGCCAAUGCAUCAAGUACCUUGGACCGGGACACUUAACCACAGCUUUGUACUGUUAUGAGUUCCUUAACCGAAUCAAAUGAGAGACAGAUGGUGGGGCACUUUAAAGCACCAAAAAAAUUUAUCCGAUUAAGGACAGCCUCUAUAAGAUCUUAAGGCACAGCCUCAAUAAAAUGAGAGACAGAUUGUAAGGCUGCUAUAAGUUCCUUAAUUGAAUCAAUUUUUUUGUACUUUAAACACUCAUUCACCGGCAUCAGAUGGAUUUUGUAUUUUUUGUUCACCGAUAUGAGAACUGCUUAUUGAUAUGAGCAUAAUAGGGUAAUGUUUUAAAGUGUGAAUAUCUAUUGGAUCUUCAUAUCAGAAUGUAUGAUGCAAUGUCAUAUAACAGCACACCCCCUUUCAGUUUCUAACACAUAAAUGUGAUGCUUCUAUGACUAAACCUGUUUCUGGCUGUCCUAAUGUUGGCCUUUUAGAGUAGUUCCCAAAAGUUUUUCCAAGCUAACAUGAAAUACUGUAGUUUCUGCAUAUGUUAACAAUUUUUCAGUUCAAACUUAUAUUAACAGUUUGUUGGAGCUUCAAUGGGAAGCUCGAAUCUUAAAAUCAUUGCCAAAGGCACAAGCAGUGAUGGUCAGUCAUAAUUCACCUCCCUGCAACUGCAGAGAUUAACUUCAAUUUUGCAAGUUGUAAAUAUAGGUUGAAACUGAAUUUGAACAACAAUGGGAAGAUGGUAAGGCGGAAGAAUGGAAAAAUGCGAUUCACAAUGGUGAACAUGUUUGGGGUUAGCAGACUGUUGUUCAUGUUCACUAUUUUAGCACAGUAGAAGAUAAAAAGCUAAAAGAGGGUCGAGUGAGAAAUUGCUUUUAGAUGAAGAGAACAGAAGCCAAUGCGACAGGAAUAACUGGGGGAACCCAUUCAAAGCAUCUGAAGAUGGAUAGAGUGCCUAAUGAAAAAAUGAAAAGCUUUUAAUCAGCAAGGUGAUAUGGCAAUAACAGCUUGGACUGAGGACCAGCAGCGUGAGAUGAAUAUCCAUGUAGAUCGUGUAUCAUUAUGCAACAUCCAUCAAACACUUCUCAUUAUUGUAUUCUGUUUAUUCAUUCAUUAAACUAUAUAUACCAAGUUUGAUUUCUCCA